AGAGUUUGAUCAUGGCUCAGGAUGAACGCUAGCGGGAGGCCUAACACAUGCAAGCCGAGCGGUAUAGAAUCUUCGGAUUUUAGAGAGCGGCGUACGGGUGCGGAACACGUGUGCAACCUACCUUAUCUGGAGGAUAGCCUUUCGAAAGGAAGAUUAAUACUCCAUAAUAUAUUGAUUGGCAUCAAUUAAUAUUGAAAGCUCCGGCGGAUAGAGAUGGGCACGCGCAAGAUUAGUUAGUUGGUGAGGUAACGGCUCACCAAGACGAUGAUCUUUAGGGGGCCUGAGAGGGUGAUCCCCACACUGGUACUGAGACACGGACCAGACUCCUACGGGAGGCAGCAGUGAGGAAUAUUGGACAAUGGGUGCAAGCCUGAUCCAGCCAUCCCGCGUGAAGGACGACUGCCCUAUGGGUUGUAAACUUCUUUUGUAUAGGGAUAAACCUCUCCUCGUGAGGAGAGCUGAAGGUACUAUACGAAUAAGCACCGGCUAACUCCGUG
rnacentral:rRNA from 1 species